rnacentral:rRNA from 1 species
GAAUCUUUGAACGCACAUUGCGCCCCUGGGAAUUCCCAGGGGCAUGCCUGUUCGAGCGUC